rnacentral:rRNA from 1 species
UACGUAGGGUCCGAGCGUUGUCCGGAAUUAUUGGGCGUAAGGGGCUCGUAGGCGGUUCGUCACGUCGGGAGUGAAAACUCGGAGCUUAACUCCGAGCCUGCUUCCGAUACGGGCAGACUAGAGGUAGGCAGGGGAGAGCGGAACUCCUGGUGUAGCGGUGGAAUGCGCAGAUAUCAGGAGGAACACCGGUGGCGAAGGCGGUUCUCUGGGAAUGUCCUGACGCUGAGGAGCGAAAGUGUGGGGAGCGAACAGG